rnacentral:lncRNA from 1 species
CUGAUUAAUGGAUGUUCUUUUAGGAAGCAUUGUUUUGAAAUAAAAACAAUGUUGCUAAUCUUAAAGUAUCCAUUGAUGACCUGAUUUUCUCAUCAAGUGAAACACGUGUGUUGAAAUAACCACGUGUGAUUCUAGGCCUACUGUACCACCAGAUUCUGCUGGCCAUUCUCCCAUCAGCCCAUUAGCUGAUGCCCAUUAAAGCAACAUAAAUUCAAUAACCACUAUUAAAAAACUUUUAUUUUGUAUAUCAGAGAGUGACACUUAAAAAAGGAAAACAUAAAUUUUACAAAGACAGUUUCUAUAAAUUUGCACAAAAAGAGUUUCCAAAAGAGAUUUCAGUUAUUUUUCUCAUUUGGAGAAUGAUACUGUUUCUCAUGCAUAAAACUUCAGAUCUUCCCUCUUAUCCCAGUUUGGAAGUUUUCUCUGUUUGCAAGAUACUGAGAGUGAAGCCGUGAGCUUAUUCCACAGAGCUUCUGCCUCAGCGAAGCUCUGGGGCCCUGCGUCUAUUUUGGAUCUAACAUCUGUUCAGCACAUGAGGCUUGGUCCCACUUCACUUUUCCAAUUUAGUUUCACUGUAUUUCUUGGUAGAACCACCCACUUGGAUCUGCUCAAUGACUUAUGGCUGAAUUCCUCACCAGCAUGGGGAUGUUUUCCCCCUCGACACAUCUGGAAUAAAAAUGGAUUUGAAAUCUGCUGAAGUUGAAUUACAAGGUCCUAGCGUGCUCUAGGGGUAGCCUCUUGCUCCACAAAAGUCCUUUGGACAAAGGUAUGUAGUACUGGGUGUGUGUGGCUGCUGUAACCCAACGAUGAUAUUUUAUUUUGAGGUGCUGAUUUAUCAAUUUAGGGGAGUGCUAGCCAAGAAUAGCUCUGAAGCUAUAAUAAAAUCUAGCUCUCUAAAUGCUGAAUUAUUCCU